UUAUGUAUUAACAUUAUUUUUUUUCAUAAAUAUAUAUUUUUAUUAGGUAAAAUUCAAAACCUAACUCAAAAUCUAAUUUUCAAGCUUCUGCUCCAAUACUCCUAACACACCCGCCGCCUCCCCCCGGUGACGCCGCGCCGGACGACGCUGCACGAGCAACCGGACGCCGGUGCCAGUGAGUCAGUGACCGCCCCUGCCCCCACCCACCCUGCAUCGCGUCGCCUCUGACGCCGCUCUUCUCGCAGCAGCAGAUCGAGCGGCGGAGCACCCUUCUCCUCUCCACCGAGCACGAGCAGACCACCCAUCUCCUCCGCCGACGCCGCUCUUCUCGCAGCAGCAGCAGCAGAUCGGGCUUUUUGCUUCUCCGUCUGCCACCUACCGCACCCGUCUCUCUCUCUCCGUCCGUUAGGCCUAGCAGCUGUCGCCGGUCGAGCUCUCAAUCGCAGACCCUAGGAGCCGCCGCUGUCGCCGCCGCCUUCUACAAUAGCCACCACCAAGGAACUCGCCACAAAGCUAAGAUCAAUCGUGUUACUAAAGCGGCAGCUUGAUGAAGUACCAGCACAGGCUGAACUAAUACAGUACGAACUCCGACUUUCUGAACUUAACACUCAAAUUCAGAAAAAGCUCCGACAAACACGGAAGCACUAUGAUACAUAUAAUGCUUUGUUGGAGAUUAAAGAUUUGAUGCUCAAAGAAACAUCCUUGUUGAAUUCAAUUAAUGUGCAGGUAAAGCUUGUAGAAUUAGUCCAUCUUUUGUUCUUCCUCAGCAUAUCAUUUUGUGCUUUGGUCUUAAUAAUUUGCUUGAUUUAGUUUCAUUGUGAUUGGUAUCUGGUUGUCUUGUUGAAUCUGUUAUCACUUCUAGUAACUUUGUGACCUCCUCUUAUAUACCAUUCCA